ensembl:snRNA U1 U1 spliceosomal RNA
AUACUUACCUGGCAGGGGAGAUACCAUGAUCAGGGAAAGUGGUUUUCCCAGGGCGAGGCUUAUCCAUUGCACUCCAGAUGUGCUGACACCUGCGAUUUCCCCAAAUGUGAGAAACUCCACUGCAUAAUUUAUGGUAGUGGGGGACUGCGUUCACACUCUAA